AGGGUCUGAACCUGCAACACACUACUGGCUUCCCCAGCUCCAACGUUCUAACCUGUUAACCAGCCUUGUUGAAGGGUCAAUGGAAGGUGGUUUCCUUCACACCAAGCAGCAGGAUGUAAAUGUUUGUUUAAGCAGCUGAGACUUGGCCCUGCUUAAUGCCACAGAUCACAUGAGAUGAGUUCAUUCAGAGUGUGGGGAUCGCGGUGAGGGUUAGAGUCAUGACAUGAAGUUUAGAGAUGUGGGAGUUUUGGAGGAACUAAAAACAGACGCACUCGUGACUGAAGAGAACGGUGAAAAUAUGAACGAGGGAACAAAAACGCCCAGAAUUCAAGCAUGCAAUGGUUUUAAGCAAGGACAUUCAGACAAUGAUGCCCCAAUACGUAUUUUGGAUCUCAACCUACGUGUUAGAGAGCUGGGAAUGCAAGGAGCAACUUCCCCAGGAGUUCUCUUCCCUGCACAAAUAGCAGAUCUGUCAAGGAAGAAGCUGCCGUUGGUCCUCCUAUUGAAGCUCAAUUUACCAAGCAAGAUGAAAUAUAAACCAUACAAGAAGAGAAUGAAAAUCAAACAGAAUAUCCAGGGCCUGGAGGGUGAGUAAAUUCUUCCUUCUGCGACUUGCUUUCUGAUCAUGGUAUUUCAUCAUGACCAUAAAAAAAUAUUACCCAAGAUAGAUCGAUCAACUGAUCAGAUGAGAGACAAAUAGAUGAGAGAUAGAUAGAUAAAUAGCUGACAGAUAGAUGAUAGAUAGAUAGAUAGAUAGAUAAAUAGAUAGAUAGAUAGAGUGAGUGAGAUAGUGAGAUGGAUGGGUGGAUAGAUAGAUAGCUAGAUCGAUGGAUGAAUGGAUAGAUAGAUAGAUAGAUAGAUAGAUAGAUAGAUAGAUAGAUAGAUAGACGGAUGAAUGGAUAGAUAGAUGGAUGGAUGGAUAGAUAGAUAGAUAGAUAGAUAGAUAGAUAGAUAGAUAGAUAGAUAGAUAGAAAAGAUACAUCCACCCACAAUAAUCUGGGCUCUGUAGACAGGUUCAUAAAUUUCUUAUGUAGAUGAUAGAGGAUCAAAGAAGUUGGAAAGUAUCUUAUAAAGCAAUUUAAACCUCUGGCAAAGUUCAAAAGUUAAAAUGAAACCUGUUUUUCUCUUUCCAGGUCUAGGCAAAGUGUUCCCUGAUUUGGGAACUGGCUCCUAGCCAGAGUCUGCUAUUGUGUAUCACCUAACAAGUGCCCAGGCCUGUCACUGUGACUCACAUUGGCAUCUGUCAGCACCCUGUGUCCCUUACAUCAUUCAUAACCAACAGAUGUCCUUGUGGUUUCACGCUGUCCCAGCCCAAUUCUUAGUAAAACCACUUGCAAUUGACACUGGCGCUGAAUGGUGAGAAGAAGUCAGAACAGAACACAAACAAACCAGCAUCAAGGUUGAACUGAUGCUCUCACUAGCCGAUGAAGAGAAAAUCUUGAUAUGGCGUUCUCCUUGUAUGACUUCCAAAACUGUUGGAAAUAGUCGUGAUUUAUUUCUGGAAAGGCAUAGAAAGGCUCCGGAUGCCUUGUGGAGUCAGGAAGACGGGGUGCCUACAAGUUCUGGUUAUUAGGAGACAGUAGAAAUCUAAGAGGAGGAG
rnacentral:lncRNA from 1 species